UGCCCACAGUGGGAGCUGCAUGAAUACCAACUGUGUAAGUGGGUCGUCUCACCGUUCAGAGAUGCCAUCUGUGCUCCAUGAUCUGACAUAAGGUGUGGACCUUGAAUUCCUAUCGUCACAGAGUGGAAGUGCUAAUAGGUGUUGGGGACCCCCUUCAGGAAGAGGCAGGAGAGCUGCAUGGGGAGGCCCAUUUCACCUGCUCAGUGGGGAGUUUGUCUCCUUGACUCGCCACUAAACCACAGGAGUCUGAGCCUCUUCUCAGUGAAAACUGGCUGCCCCAGAGGAGAGCACAGUCUUCAGUCAUGCUGUCACUGAAGCCAGCAGUGGCUCUGGCCAUCCUUGGAGUUUGUAAGUUUUGUUUACUUACUUUUGACUGAUGUUCUCUAAUUUUGUAUUUUUUAUAAAAUCCCAAGAGUUUGUUUUAUUUACUGCAACUUCUUUCUUUUCAGUGUAUGUGUAUGGUGCACGUCACCUGGAGCAACCUCAUCCUUCCAUUACUAAAACCCUCUCCAAAACAGCGCGCCUGGAGUGUAUCUUGUCUGGAGUAACUAUUUAUGCCAUGUCCAUAUACUGGUAUCAGGAAAAACCUGGCCAUCCCCUGAAGCACCUACUGUUCAUUUCAGCUGAUGACACUGUCAACCUGGAACCAGGCAUUACAGUGGGCAAAUUUGAGGUGGACAAGAUACCUGAGACAUCUACGUCUACCCUCACCAUUCACAAUGUAGAGAAAGAAGACUCAGCUACCUACUAUUGUGCCUUCUGGGAAUUGCACAGUAGUAGACAAUCAGAGCCAUCUCAAU
rnacentral:lncRNA from 1 species